CUGAGCACCUUCUCAUCGCUGCUGCUCACUCUGCACUGCUGCUUUUCUCCACUGGCACUGCACUGCACCAGACCAGCACAGCUGAGUUAGGAGAUGAAGUUGCUGCAUCUGCCAUGUGGAAGCAUCUGCAGACUUCUUCCAGGCCUUCCAAUGUCCUUCAUCCUGAGGCAAACAGCUUCCCAAAUGUUGUGUGCACCUUUCCUCCAAACCCCUGCAUUUCUACGUUGGGCAGCAAAGGGCUGAGGAUGAUUUCUUCCUGAGCAGCCACAAAGCUCCCAGCUGGGUGCUUCCCAUUCCUGCCAGGAAGCAGGACAAUGCUAGAUGCCAAACACAAGAGACAUUGUCCAGCCCUACAUUCCCCUGGAGAUAAGCAAGGCAUUGCCUUUGGCUUCCAAAAGACACCAACAGAACUGCUCAAAAGCUUCAAAGGCACCAUGAGGAAGACAGCUCCAAGGAGGCAGAACCAAACUCCACACAUGUCCAGCAGGAGGAAAGUCCAGCUUCAGGCAUCUGGAACUGCCAAACGUGACCAAAAGGGCACACAGGGUUCACAGCACGAGUGACUGAUGAAAUGGGCUUCAUGAAGACACACUUUUGGUCACAGCUGCUGCUAGGACUAGACUGGAAGGGAUCCAAACAGCAGGAGGAAGUGAGAGCAUUAGUCAGUUAGAAGGGGAGCUCAACAGCUUGCUCCUCUAAAGCAAUCCCAGCCUCCAAACCCCAAAUCUUUAACCCAAAUGACUCUUCCAGAUGGCACUUAGAAAACUAGUCUGGAGUUGUUGUAGACCAGCAAAAAGGCCAUCACAGCUUUCCUGCACCCCUCUUGAACUGAGCAAACAGCACACAACAGAAGCUCUCCAGCUCCUGGUGGCUGCUCCCCACCAAAACUUCAUUGGCCUGAGUUGGGCAAAACUUCAUUGGCCUGAGUUGGGCAAAACUUCAUUGGUCUGAGUUGAGCAAAACUUCAUUGGCCUGAGUUGAUCAAAACUUCAUUGGCCUGAGUUGGGCAAAACUUCAUUGGCCUGAGUUGGGCAAAACUUCAUUGGCCUGAGUUGAUCAAAACUUCAUUGGCCUGAGUUGAGCAAAACUUCACUGGCCUGAGUUGAGCAAAACUUCACUGGCCUGAGUUGAGCAAAACUUUAUUGGCCUGAGUUAAUUAAAGACUUUGU